CUUCGACCAGGCCGCUGGAUUCCGCUUUUUGGGCUGGCGGGUGGAUCCUUACAGUUGGUGACCGUCCCUCCGUGAUCUCCCAUCUUCUGUUGGCGAGGGUCUUUUCAGCGCAUCAUUCAAAUGUGCUCCAGAAAGAGGUUUGAGCUUCUCCUUCCUUUUCUCCAGCUGCUGCGGUAAGUCGAUUCUUAUUUGCCUUUUUAGAAAUGUUGAGGGAAAGCUUAGAUGCACCCCAUAUAGACAUACUUUUGCUGAAAGAGUUGAAAUGCUCAUUUUAGACCGGAGACUUCAGAAAUCCGGCAGAGAUUUAUGAAUCUUUACAGACUGCAGAGAUGGAAAUAGUCAAAUGUAUGAAUAGGAUAAGAAAAUGCCAAUUGCUAAGCUAACAAUGCAGCACCAAAUCUGGCAGCUAAUGCUCUAAGCACAGAUCUGACUAGUGUAAACGGUAUCAUUUAAAAGUUACAUUUCCCAGCAGAUCUGGGUGUCAUAAUGCCUGCAACACAGCAGACUGUGUAAAUUAUGCUGUAACAGCAGCUUAAGGUGCGACAUGCUUAGACUGUGCUAAAACACUAGCUUCUAGAUCUGACCAUUAACACUCAGUUUGUUUUGCCGUUUUGUUUACAAAACAUGAUCAUGACAAUGAUAUAUGUCUUGGUAAACUAAAACAAAUUAGGUCCUCAUGGUAUGCAAUCUUAGAUUGCAACCAUCUGAAACAACUGUUUGGCUGUGGCCAUUACAGGAAAAUUAAGAUUCACCAGUCUUCAAGCAACUUGUGAAAAGGUUCAAGACUAAGCUGUUUUUCUUUCAGGUUUACUGCUGCCAUCUCUGAGGGACAAAUUCCACAAGGACAUCUGGUCCCACCUACACAACUUGCACACACAACAAGGAGAUGGGUGUGGAGAUACUACAAGUGGUCAUUCACACCUCAGCACUGUACAAGUAAUUACAUGACCUCCCAGUGUAGCACUGGAACUAAAUUAUGCAACACAAAUUAUGGUAGACUAGACAUCACCCAUCUCCUAUACACAUACAUACACACAAACAUACAGAACACACUUUCAUUAUUGCAACUACACAAUACACUUACCUGGUAUUGAGCAUACGGACAUCCAGGUCUAAAUUACGCACAUCAUUCAAACUGAUCACACAUUAUUCACCUCAUACAUAUAUGUCAAAAUAAAUUAUUUUUUAAUUUCAAUUAUGGCAAACAUUUUUGCAAUUUUAAAAAUUUUGUGCAAUUUUUAUGGUCUUAUGAACUUACUGUAUGUAAACACUGUAAUGUGCAUAGGACUUGCAUGGCUACAGUCACAUAUCAAUUAAUUCAAAUUCUAUUACAAAUUCUAAAAUGAGACCCAUUCAGUAACACAAUUGGUCUCUUAGGACAGAAUAUUUUUCAUGUCCAAUCAUUAGCAUUGUUGCAAACUAGGGGGCCCACUAGUUUACAACAUAUGUCUAAUGACCGCACAAAUUUACCUAAAUAAAUAGGAUCUGAUCAUUUCUAAUCAGACCUGCAUUAUCAAGUGUGACCAGCCUGCACAUCAAAUGCACAGAGAAUGAUUGAAAAUGGUUUAACUACAGGUUUUAAAUCUCUUUUUCUGUUCAUUUCAUUCUCUGAUUGACCUUGAUGAAACUUUAGGUCUGCAUUAAUGCUUUGCUAUUAAAACAAUCACUAUAGGCAAUUUUAUGAUGGUAAUUAUGAAAUUGUGUAUUUCUAUGUUUAAUUAUGUGAUAUGUUUAAUUAUGAAUACCACUGGUAAAUAUACCGGUUAUAUUGAUUUUGCUACUUCCCUUUUAUUCAUUCAGACCAAAUACCUAGUGGUAGUAAACAGUUUGGCUAUCAAAUUAGACCUAUUUACUGAAUAUUUGACUCUGAAAAAUGGAGACCUUAUUUACCACUCGCACUUUUGACAUGAUCGUUCCUUUGUGUAUUUUUGUUUAUUUUAUAACCUCUUUUCUCAUCCCACAACAUCACCAAAGUCUUCAGUGUACAGUUAUUGCAUGGUCAUUCAGAAGUUGUUUAGAUGUCUUGCACACAUUGGAGCAUCAUCAGUGAAAUUAUUUCUUCACCUAUGGAGAUCUGACAAACCCUGCAAUCCCACCUUCUGCCUGAAGGUGACAGAAAGUUUCUCAGCAGGUCAGAUAAACAUCCUGGGGAGGACAGCACUGGACACAGAUGCUUCCCUAGAGUAGAAGGACACUUUCAACUCAUGCUUGAUCAACUCAAGGGACCUGAUUCAUCAAGUAAUCCUACAGACUGAGUUUCACCACAGCCAGUACAGGUGGAAACACACCUGACCAAAAAGACUGCGGUGGCACAGGAUGCCUACGCUCAAGGGACUGAGCGUGUCACUGAUGUGAUUUCUGCAGUGCUUUUCUCAACCUGUCUUUAUGUUGUUCUUUCAGGUGACCACUCUACUUAACUCUACUCAUCAACUAGUGUUGCCUGCUCUGCAAAAACUUUGGCAGUAAUGAAUAUCACAAGGAAAUCAUUUAAUUAUGUCCCCUUGUAGACCGCUCAGAGUUUGCUCCAAGGGACCAGGGAAGGACUGUAAGGAGUGAAAUUAUUUCCUUAUGAAAUUAAUUCUUUGUGAAGCCAGACUUUCAGGAACUCUCGCAAUGCAAAUGCAGAUGCACCAAAACAAUGGGCUUUGAUCUCCUCGUGGACCAAACAAACAGAUAGGAAGAUCUGGAAGAAAGACCAUUUGCUCUUUGGUACCUUCACCCCUCCUUCCCCCCAGGGCACAUGGUCCAGGCAUCUAACAGUUGUUAUGCUCACAUAAAACAUUUACUAUAUCUUCAGGAUUCAUGCUUGUAAACUUUUCAUGUUUGGUAUCAUUUUAAAGGUCUAUGUGCGAUUGGUAAAAUGGUCUCAAUUUCAAAGUAGUCAUUUAUAUUAUGAGAAAGAUUGAAAACUUUUGUAGAAUUGUGUUCUGCUGUGAAGGGGGUGUGCCCCCCUUUAGGGGUCUGUGAGAAUGUUUAUCUCCAGCCUGGUGUGACCCUGAUUUGACCACGGGAACCUAAAAAAACCAAAAGGUCUUUUAUGUUUUUACAGCUGAUUUGAAGAUUAUUUGUUGUCUGGUCUGAGUAUUUAAGGGAAGUGACAAAACACUACUGGGCGAUUCUGUUGCCAGAAAGCCCGUAGUGUGGAGUGUAUUUCAUAUGCUCCAUACUAUGUAUCUUCCUGAAGUCAGGUAUACUAUUAUGUAAUUGUGUUAAACACAUUGUGCCUACAGAGCACACUGUAUAGUUGUUUGUGCUACUACAUGUACACAUUGGCUAGUUAAGUUUAUUCUCUAAAACACCUGAGUGCUUUGCUAUGCAUUUUAGACCAUGUUUCUUAAAUUAGGAUAACUGUUACAUGUGUGACUAUGUUAAAUUUGUGUGCCUCCUGCAUGGAUCACUUGGCC
ensembl:lncRNA